rnacentral:rRNA from 1 species
GUUGUCGUCAGCUCGUGUCGUGAGAUGUUGGGUUAAGUCCCGCAACGAGCGCAACCCUUAUUGUUAGUUGCUACCAUUUAGUUGAGCACUCUAGCGAGACUGCCCGGGUUAACCGGGAGGAAGGUGGGGAUGACGUCAAAUCAUCAUGCCCCUUAUGUCUAGGGCUACACACGUGCUACAAUGGCUGGUACAGAGAGAUGCUAAACCGCGAGGUGGAGCCAAACUUUAAAACCAGUCUCAGUUCGGAUUGUAGGCUGAAACUCGCCUACAUGAAGCUGGAGUUGCUAGUAAUCGCGAAUCAGAAUGUCGCGGUGAAUACGUUCCCGGGCCUUGUACACACCGCCCGUCACACCAUGAGAGUUGGCAAUACCCAAAGUUCGUGAGCUAACCCGUAAGGGAGGCAGCGACCUAAGGUAGGGUCAGCGAUUGGGGUGAAGUCGUAACAAGGUAGCCGUAGGAGAACCUGCGGUUGGAUCACCUC